GUGUGCUGUGGCAGCUCUGUGGGAAAGCUGCUCAGAGUGCCUGUGGGUGGCUCUGGCAGAGGGCUGAGCAUCUCCGGAGGUAGGACAUGGUGGAGGCUUGCUUGAAGAUGAGAAGAGGAACACGUGAGAUGAGAGGCAGUGUGCUCUAAAGGGUUUUUCUGGCUGGUUAUUUCGUGUGGAAGUCCUUCUGCCUUCGUGGAUUUACAUACUGUCAAAGCUUCUCAAGCCUUGGAAAUGAGAAACUGUGGAUGGCAGCAGUGGAUUCUUCUGGAAGUCCUGCAGGGUUGGCUGCAUGCUCCCUGGCUGGCAGAGGACCCUGGAGAUGAGAGAACCAAUAUUGCUGCGAAGGUUAUUCCUAGCACAGGAGCAGUUAAGAAUCUGUCUGCACACAAAUGACGAAUUAUUGUAAUCUGAACAAAGAAUGGGGCAGUAAAGAUCACACCGGUUGGAAACUUUAAAGGGACUAGAGGCAGAAAGAUGAAAAGAUGAAUGAAAAAAGAUUCUUAAUGCUUACAAAUGCAGAAAUGUGGCUAAUGGGUACGAAUGACAAACACUUAAGAAGCGGACUUGAAUAACAGUUGCUAAGAUUCUCUGGCUUGUUGCAGCACUGCUGGGGUGUGCUUAGGGCAGCAUUUGGAUCCUGAAAUAGUGCCUGAUGCUCCUUCUGCUGUGAAAUCAGAAGGAAAACAUUCCUGUGUGGUGCGUUUCUAAUGUUUUCCUAAUGCCAUUUUAUCAGCCUGGCUUCCAGCUUAAAGUAUCACUUGAGUGCAUGGUGGGGCAGAACGCUGCUGCAGGAAUUGGGUUUGUUGGAUCGUGAGAGCACAGUGCUCCUUUCUGUCCUUGAAACCUCCCCGUGUCAUUCUGCACCCAUGUCCUGAGGAUGGCAGGAUUUCACCUGAGCAAUCUUUGAGCCAGGUAGCACAGUUUCAGGACAGGCGAUGGUCUGACAUCUCACACCACACCCAGAGAACUCCCACCUGAUGAAGCAGCCAGACAGGAGCAGGUAUACCUGCUAGCAGAGCUUGGGGAGCACCCAAAGUAUUCUGGUGGAAAGGUUUUGGCUGAGGAAAUUCGGGCCCAGCUUCCAAAGUUUGCUUUGUUUUGGUGUGAAACAUGGAUUUGUGUUACAGUUGCAGUAGGCUUGCUUGGUGCUUUGCCCACUAUUAAUCAAACCUUGCAGAGGCCGGCCUUGGUGCAAGCUUGGCAGCAGGACCUGUGCCUGGGCAUGUUUACCUUGGCUUUGCAUUUCAUCGUGGACCUCUAUUUGUGGGCAGUAAAUCAAAUGCAUGAUAAGUUUACAGAGGAUCUGGACUGCGUCUAAUAGAUGCCAUUACACUGCUUGUUCAAAGCUGUGUGUGUGACAAGGUCAGCUCAUAAAAAUAGCAUAAAUUUCAUAUUUUCUUGACUCCCACAGAGGACUGCGGGAGGGAGAGACGUAGGGAUUGCUGCAGUGCGUGGAGCAUAGUGAUCUCUGCAGUUCAUCCAUAAUCCAUCAGAAAUCUGUCAUCUUUCCAAAGUUACUGUUUUAUAAGCUGCAAACUUAACGGUCACCUCUGUCCUGAUGGUACAGCACACUCCACAUCCCCUUAAUGGGAGUUCUGGGCCCUGGUGUUGCUCAGUGGCUCAGAGCCACUGCUGGGCAGAGGUGCAGCACCUCCUGCUUUGGGCACCUUGUGGCUUUGAGCUGGUGCUCGUUAGGGGCUGCUGGGGGGAAGGAAUGGACCCUUGCUUCCUUCUGUCCAAACCUCAGCUUACUGAACCACAACCCACUAUUGAUUUCCCAGUGAUGCCCUGUUUGUUCCUCCAGAUGUAACCUAGAGCUGGGUUAUGUUAAACCACAAGCGAAUCUCUAGUUGGCUUCUGCAGCACCUGGCUCAGGUUUGGGUGGGUUUGGUAUACCCAUCUUUCAGCACGUGCUGCUUGGCUGCACUACCUUCCCCAGUAAUAUCAUCCCAAGGACUGGACACUCUUGAUGCAAAAAUAACCUGCAGUCAGUUGCUCUGUCCCACUUCCAUAAUACUGUUUCUCCUGUUUUCUCCUCCUGCUGCUACUGCCACUUGUUAAAAACCUGCGAUUGUUUUUCUGCCAGCAGCUCUGGCUGUCUGCUGACACCUCAAAAUAUAGAGAAAACCUUUGCUAUCAGCUCCUGGAGACAGACUUCUGAGGCAACACGCCAAGCACAUGUUUCUGGUGAUGCAAUGGUCAGUGAUAGUGCUGCUGAGCAGUGGUUACAGUGAUGAUAGAAGAGACAAGCAAUUUUUACAGCACCUGACAUACUCCAGUGCUGUUCAAGUGUGGCUGCAGAAAUCCCCAUGUCUGUUUCUUGCACUGACAGUAAUGGAGUCCUAACACUGUUGCUCUUUUAACAACAGAGCAGAAAAAUGUGCAUAUCGUUUUUCCUACAAGUUCUGGCUUAAGAGAAGGAUGUGGAGAUGCAAUAAAGAUAGGAGCCAGCUACCCAUCUUUGGGAAAUGACAUCUGUAUCCACUGCAAAAUCCUUCUGUUCUGGAAGCAGCCUGGCUGCUGCCUUGGUUUCCGUUUGCCACACGUCCUGCAAUCCAGAGCAGGUCUGAAGAUCUGCAGUUCAAUGUGAGACACAGAAAAGAGCUGUGCUUUUGCUAUUCCAGCCACAGUGAAUAAUCAGCAGAGCUUCCUGAUGAAGUAUUGGAACUGCUGAGUACAGCAAACAGAGGUUCACCCCCCUUCUCAGGACAGUGCAGCUCCUGAGGUCCCACAGGGCCCAUAAUGUGGCUGGUGGUGUUCAGAUGAUACCAGCAUUUCUCACAUAGUAUGGAGA